AUGAUUACUGAUAAUGCGUUGGUGGCGUUUGAAUGCUUCCAUGCAAUUGAGCACUGCAAAAAAGAACAUGAAUCUUUCUGUGCGUAUAAGUUGGAUCUGUCCAAGGCGUAUGAUAGGGUUGAUUGGGACUUCCUUAGAAGAACGAUGCAGAGUUUAGGUUUCGCUCCCCUAUGGGUGGAAUGGAUAAUGUCCUGUGUGACCUCGGUGAGCUACUCGGUAAAAUUCAAUGGAACCCUUCUUGAUUCGUUCUCCCGGUCCAGAGGUCUUCACCAAGGUGAUCCACUAUCUCCUUUUUUGUUCUUAUUUGUCGCUGAUGGCCUUUCUGCUCUCAUGCAUCUUGAAGCAAUCUAG
rnacentral:rRNA from 1 species